rnacentral:rRNA from 1 species
GAUGAACGCUGGCGGCGUGCUUAAUACAUGCAAGUCGAACGGAGUAAGUAGCGAUAUUUACUCAGUGGCGAACGGGUGAGUAACGCGUUGGUGACCUGCCCCGAAGCGGGGGAUAACAGUUCGAAAGGACUGCUAAUACCCCAUGAGGUCGCGGAAGUUAGAGGUUUUGUGACGAAAGGAGCAAUCCGCUUUGGGAGGGGCCUGCGUCCCAUCAGCUAGUUGGUAAGGUAAAGGCUUACCAAGGCGAAGACGGGUAGGGGGCCUGAGAGGGUGACCCCCCACACUGGCACUGAAACACGGGCCAGACACCUACGGGUGGCAGCAGUAGGGAAUAUUGCACAAUGGGCGAAAGCCUGAUGCAGCAACGCCGCGUGCGCGAAGAAGGUCUUCGGAUCGUAAAGCGCUUUUCGGGGAGAUGAGGAAGGACAGUAUCCCCGGAAUAAGGCUCGGCUAACUACGUGCCAGCCGCCGCCGUAAGAC